rnacentral:rRNA from 1 species
AUGUCGGCUGCUCCGUCAGGGUCAGCCACCUCCGCUGCAGUGCUGGCCGCGGCUGCCCUGGCCUCCCGCAAGGCUGCCCCGGCCGCUGGUGGCCAUUUGUCCCGCGUCCGGUUGUGGCUGCAUCUCCGACAGUGCAUAGCUCGGCCCCCCCAAGUCGGGUCCUCACCGCUGCUGCCGCUUGGGUGUCUCCCGUCCCCGUCCCCGGCCUCUGCUGACGCUGCUUCUGUCAGCGACGCACCGUCAACCUCGACUGCUAUUGUGGGCGCGCCAUCCCCUACUCCUGUAGGUGCUGCUACGUCCUACUUGACUCCUGUGGAAGCCCCGUCCCCCCGGCUGCUGCUGCUGAAGCGCCGCCCACAACCACAACUCCUGCUGCUGAAGCGCUGUCCACGGCUCCUGUGGAAACGGCGCCGUCCUCGGCUCCUGUCCAUACUACGACGGGUCUUGACUCAGAGCUACCUGUUUCGUGGAGCUCCCUUACUGACGGCGAAGAAGACGACGACGAUGAUGAUGAGCUGGCCCAACGGACGCCACCGCCGGCUACCAAAUCCUCGGUUUCGGCUGCUCGGCAGGACGUGGCAUGUGAAGCGGAUAUAUUCGGAGGUUGGCAGAAGGUGCUCCCGCGGCGCGAUGUGCAACGCCAGGCGUCACAAGCCCCUACUUUGGCUCCCCGUCCCGUCCCUGCUUGGCUUCAUGAUAGAUGUUGCAGAUGUCUCUUUCCUGGACACCGUGCAGCGGAUUGUCGAGAUCCUUUUAGAUGUUAUCGAUGCCUUGAGAACGGUCAUCAAGCGCAUGAGUGCCGCAAUUCCUGGCGUCCCCUCAGCUCCUUGGGAAGAGCUACUGUGUCGCCAUUGCCCCGCCUCCCCGUCGAGCACCAACAAGCUACAUCUCCAUACAAGGUCCAGAAAGAAGCCCCGCCCCUCUCGAAGACAUUUUGUCAUGAUUCUUUGGCAUCGAUCGUUUCUGCUCCUGCUGGCUCAAUGGCCCCGAUGA